rnacentral:rRNA from 1 species
AGCAGCCGCGGUAAUUCCAGCUCCAAUAGCGUAUAUUAAAGUUGUUGCAGUUAAAAAGCUCGUAGUUGAAUUUUGGAUUCUGCCAGUUGGUCCAUCUUUUGAUGAGUACUGAUUGUGCGGGGUCUAUCCGCCUGGGGAGACGUAAUGUACUUUAUUGUAUGUUGCGGAUAGCCAGGACCUUUACCUUGAAAAAAUUAGAGUGUUUAAAGCAGGCUUAUGCCGGAAUACAUUAGCAUGGAAUAAUAGAAUAGGACGAUGUUGUUUUAUUUUGUUGGUUUCUAGGACAACCGUAAUGAUUAAUAGGGAUAGUUGGGGGCAUUAGUAUUCAAUUGUCAGAGGUGAAAUUCUUGGAUUUAUUGAAGACUAACUACUGCGAAAGCAUUUGCCAAGGAUGUUUUCAUUAAUCAAGAACGAAAGUUAGGGGAUCGAAGACGAUCAGAUACCGUCGUAGUCUUAACCAUAAACUAUGCCGACUAGGGAUCGGGCGAUGUUGUUUCCAUGACUCGCUCGGCACCUUAUG